GGAUGCCGAAGUGUUCAUGGCUCUACUGCGGCGAUUGCUCCCACGUGUGUACAAGCACCUGCAGCAGGUAGGCGUUGGCCCCCUGCUCUACCUGCCUGAGUGGUUCCUGUGCCUCUUCACUCGAUCGCUGCCCUUCCCCAUCGUGCUUCGCAUCUGGGAUGCCUUCCUCAGUGAGGGUGAGUUAGGGAUGGGGGCGGAGGGGAUAGCUCACGGUUCUGAAUUUGUGGUGCUUGUUGUCCCUACUCUCAGCCCUUUUGGAGCCUUCUGUGAGGUGGACCUGAGUAUGUCUGUGGAGAAAACAGAAGGUCUCACAGACACAAUCCCAGAGUGAUGAAUGAGGGCCUCUACUUUGUCACAAACACCACUGUGGGAGGCUGAGAACAUGGAUAGGAAAGUCUCUGAUGAGGUUGGAGUCAGUGUGAGGGAACUGGGUUGGUCAAAGCACCUGCUGUGGAACGUGAGUGGCUCAGGGCGUGCAAGGUUUAGUCAUGGUCCACAGCCAGAGGAGCUUCUCUUUCUUGGGGCCUUGUAACCCAUUGGCUCUUCCUAAGUAGCCCGGCGAAGCUGCCUCUGACAGCUAGCUUGUGAAACCUUCAUUGGUGGGGGUAGGGCUAGGAGGUGACAGUACCUAAAUUAAGAAGUUAUUUAUAGAAUGUCAUAAGUGCCACGAAGAAGAUAAAUCCAGGGAUGUGACAGAGUGUCAGGAGAGCAGUGGGAGGUGGCUGCUGUUUUUAAAGACAGUUCUGGCUGCUCUAUGGCGGAGGUAAACUAGAAGGCGAGCAGGUGGAGGUUAGAGGCCAGAAGACCACCAAGCAGGAAGACCAGGCCACUCAGGUGACUACUGGGAGGAAGAACAUGGAAAGGUAAAGACAGAAAAGGCGGUGCUGGGAGGGUUGGGGAGGGACUGAGAGUGGAAGGAACAUCAGAAUAGAGCCCAGGUGGACUCCGGAUCUUUAGGGCUUUAUGCUGCCGUAUGCCUAGGGAUUGUUCCUACAGUCAGGUUCCAGUUUGGGCUGGUACUGUACUAGCUUCGUUGGCAGAGUGCUCACAGUAAGCACACAAUAAGCCCUGGGUCCAAUCUCCAGCAUUACAUAAAAUUGAUCAUGGAGGCACAUGCCUGUAAUCACAGCCCUUGGGAGACAGUAGCAAGAGAAUCAGAAAUUCACGAUCCUCCUUGGCCACACAGUGAAUUUGAGGCCAACCUCAACUACAUGAGAUUCUACUCCAAACAAACGAGAAAGUCAUGUCACAGGUAUCCAAAGCACAUGUGUCACCUCCCCUCUAACCCCAGUCCUCAAGAGGCAGGGCUGAUCAUGGUGGUCCAUCUGAUCCCUGUCCCCUGUACCUGAGGACAAGCACCACACAGGCUCCCUUUAGUAACAAUGAUGACAUUGUCGGUGGCGAUUGGUACUUUAUAAGUCACAGCUGUCACUAGCUCUCCCUGAAAUGCUAACUGCUCUCAUCGGUUCAGAGGAUGCCAGAAAGGGAUUGUGAGGUCCUAGGACUGGCAAGGGUUAGUGUGUGUGUGUGUCCGUGUGUCUGUACAUGAGUGCUAUUUUUGCUGUAAGAAGAAAAGUUCUGCACAGAACCGUUCUAGAAUCAGAGGUGGCAGAUUCAAGAUGAAAAGUACUUAAUAUGCACCGACCCGAGUACUCCUCAAAGAAACAGGAUGCUGAGGUCAGAGACGGCUUAGCAGUUAGCAGCCCCUGGCUCCUGACUGGCUGUCCUUCUCAGAAGUGUCAGCGUCCUGAGACCGGCUUGACUUCGUCAGUGUCCUGUGCCCUCAAACUGAGGGGGUGGCGGGGAAGGCUAUAUUCCUUCUGAGCAUCAUAAUUCAUACUUAAAAUUCCAGUGCAAAGGCUGAGUCAGGAGGAUUGCUGUGAGUUUAAGGCAAGGCUGGGU
rnacentral:lncRNA from 1 species